AAAGAAGAUCCGGGAGUGUGGCUGGUAAUGCAGUAUUCAUUUAAUUGGGAGCAGGUACCGGUGCAAACUUCUCCAUUUUAAUUGGAAAAAGGGAAGGGGAUUGUUAAGGACGAAGGAAAAAAGAAUGCAUAAAGUUUCCAAGCCGAGGAGCCAAAGGCAGCCCUGUCUAUGCCAGAGAAAGAACUCAAUUUAGGGCAAUUUGCUCUGCAAGCUGGGCUGCAGCCUCCCCUGGGAAUAGGGAUGAGGAAGAAAAUGAAACCAAAAGAGAACUUGAUAAAAUCACCUAGCACAGACAAUCUCGGUAGAAUAGGUUUUACUGAGUUAAAUCUGCCCCAAUCAAUAUGAUUCUUUUCAUAUAAGUUACAAAUAAAAAGCCACAAGAUUACAAUAAAAAUCGAGACUCGAGCGCUGCUGAUGUUGCACCUGGGAGUCUUAAGAACUUGUUAUGGAAUAUAUGUUUUUGCAACUAUAAUGUUUGUUUUUCCUUUCACCCUGGUCAUGUGAAUCAACUGUUUGCUUUCCUUCUCUAUCCAUUUAGUUUUAUAUAUUGUUUUUAAAACCCAACAGAGGCAACUCUUUCUGCUUAAUUUCUCUUACACUAGAGGUUGGGGAUCGGUGGUUUCAUUUUGUUUUCCAAUGUGUUGAAUCUAACGUAGUUCUGAUUUCUCAUACUAAUAAUAAAUGAAGAGAUUUCUUCUUAUUGUAUAUUUUUGUGAUGUAAGGAAUUAUAAAUGUUAAUGUAUGAGUAAAGGAAUAAAAGGGAGGCAAGACUUCAUGUAAGAAGGGAAAGAAAUGCUUUUGAGGCAUAUAAGAAACUAUUAAAAUAGAACAUCUUAUAGUUUAUAUGUAAUAAUUAUUAAUAAUCUUUGACUGUGCUGGAGAAAUAUGAAUUUUGAGCAGCCGAUGGUUUCAAUGUGAUAAUUUUUUUUUAUCCUUAGUGAAUAAGGAGGCAAAAGACUGGAAAAAAAAAUUUAGUCUUUCUUCCAGUGUGGUUGACUAAUCAACAAAGAACUUGGAGACAGAUACUUUAUUUUAGUACAUAAAAACGGGCAGGAGAGGAUGCAGGAGACUGUACAAAGUUCAAGAAACGAUAUGCUUUAAUCAAGAUGAGAAAUGUGAAAUCUGAACAAGUUAGACGGUGACUCCAUGUCUAGUGAGUAACAGAGGUGGAAU
rnacentral:lncRNA from 10 species